rnacentral:tRNA from 3 species
GUGGAUGUAGCUCAGUUGGUUAGAGCACCAGAUUGUGGCUCUGGGGGUCGUGGGUUCGAGUCCCAUCUUCCACCCCA